rnacentral:rRNA from 1 species
GGGCGUAAAGCGCGCGUAGGUGNUAGUUUGGGUCGCGGAUUAAAUUUCAAGGCUCAACCUUGAAUAUUUCCGCGAAACUAAAUUACUUGGGAUAGUCAGAGGCAAGCGGAACACCUGGUGUAGGGGUAAAAUCCGUUGAUAUCAGGUGGAACACCAAUGGCGAAAGCAGCUUGCUGGGGCUCAUCCGACACUAAGGCGCGAAAGCGUGGGUAGCGAACGGGAUUAGAUACCCCGGUAGUCCACGCUGUAAACUAUGCUGACUAGAUAUUGGAAGUUCGACCCUUUCAGUAUCGUAGCUAACGCGUUAAGUCAGUCGCCUGGGGAGUACGGUCGCAAGACUAAAACUCAAAGGAAUUGACGGGGACCCGCACAAGCGGUGGAGCAUGUGGUUUAAUUCGACAACAAGCGAGGAACCUUACCAGGGCUUGUAUCUACCGAACCUUGCCGAAACGCGAGGGUGCCCUUUUUGGGAGCGGUAUGACAGGUGCUGCACGGCUGUCGUCAGCUCGUGUCGUGAGAUGUACGGUUAAAUCCGGUAACGAGCGUAACCCGUAUGAUGUGUUAUAUUUCUCACAUCAGACUGCCCGCUUUAAGUGGGAGGAAGGCGCGGAUGACGUCAAGUCAGCGUGGCUCUUACGUCCUGGGCGACACACGUGCUACAAUGGCCAGUUCAAUGGGUUGCAAAAUCGCGAGAUGAAGCUAAUCCCAGCAAAACUGGUCCCAGCUCGGAUAGGAGUCUGCAACUCGACUUUUUGAAGCUGGAAUCGCUAGUAAACGCAUAUCAGCCAUGGUGCGUUGAAUACGUUCUCGGGUCUUGUACACAC